rnacentral:rRNA from 1 species
AUUGAACGCUGGCGGCAGGCUUAACACAUGCAAGUCGAGCGGAGUGAUGGUGCUUGCACUAUCACUUAGCGGCGGGCGGGUGAGUAAUGCUUAGGAAUCUGCCUCUUAGUGGGGGACAACAUCUCGAAAGGGAUGCUAAUACCGCAUACGUCCUACGGGAGAAAGCAGGGGAUCACUUGUGACCUUGCGCUAAUAGAUGAGCCUAAGUCGGAUUAGCUAGUUGGUGGGGUAAAGGCCUACCAAGGCGACGAUCUGUAGCGGGUCUGAGAGGAUGAUCCGCCACACUGGGACUGAGACACGGCCCAGACUCCUACGGGAGGCAGCAGUGGGGAAUAUUGGACAAUGGGGGGAACCCUGAUCCAGCCAUGCCGCGUGUGUGAAGAAGGCCUUAUGGUUGUAAAGCACUUUAAGCGAGGAGGAGGCUCUUUUGGUUAAUACCCAAGAUGAGUGGACGUUACUCGCAGAAUAAGCACCGGCUAACUCUGUGCCAGCCGCCGCCGUAA